rnacentral:rRNA from 1 species
GACGAACGCUGGCGGCGUGCUUAACACAUGCAAGUCGAACGAUGAAACCGGAGCUUGCUCCGGUGGAUUAGUGGCGAACGGGUGAGUAACACGUGAGUAACCUGCCCUUGACUCUGGGAUAACUGCGGGAAACUGUAGCUAAUACCGGAUACGACCCUCGGAGGCAUCUCCAGGGGGUGGAAAGAAUUUCGGUCAAGGAUGGACUCGCGGCCUAUCAGCUAGUUGGUGAGGUAACGGCUCACCAAGGCGACGACGGGUAGCCGGCCUGAGAGGGUGACCGGCCACACUGGGACUGAGACACGGCCCAGACUCCUACGGGAGGCAGCAGUGGGGAAGAUUGCACAAUGGGCGCAAGCCUGAUGCAGCAACGCCGCGUGAGGGAUGACGGCCUUCGGGUUGUAAACCUCUUUUAGUAGGGAAGAAGCGAAAGUGACGGUACCUGCAGAAAAAGCACCGGCUAACUACGUGCCAGCAGCCGCUGUAA